rnacentral:rRNA from 1 species
GACGAACGCUGGCGGCGUGCUUAACACAUGCAAGUCGAACGGAAAGGCCCUGCUUUUGUGGGGUGCUCGAUUGGCGCACGCGUGAGUAACACGUGAGUAACCUGCCCUUGAAUUUGGGAUAACUUCAGGAAACUGGGGCUCAUACCGGAUAGGAGCUCCUGCUGCAUGGUGGGGGUUGGAAAGUUUCGGCGGUUGGGGAUGGACUCGCGGCUUAUCAGCUUGUUGGUGGGGUAGUGGCUUACCAAGGCUUUGACGGGUAGCCGGCCUGAGAGGGUGACCGGCCACAUUGGGACUGAGAUACGGCGCAGACUCGUACGGGAGGCAGCAGUGGGGAAUAUUGCACAAUGGGCGGAAGCCUGAUGCAGCAACGCCGCGUGCGUGAUGACGGCCUUCGGGUUGUAAACCGCUUUCGCCUGUGACGAAGCGUGAGUGACGGUAAUGGGUAAAGAAGCACCGGCUAACUACGUG